UGGAAUCCAGGUUUGAAAAUUAUAUUUUACAAGCUCUGUAAAUACCAGAAUAGUAUAUUAAGUUCACCCCUAAGCAAGCAGCCAAACUGCUAGACAGAAGACAAAAUGUUCGGAGAUUUGGAGAAAGAAACAGAAAAUUUUAACUUUUAAGAGAUGGUGGCUCUGUUCUAAAUGGAAAAUUAAUGACAGCCAGGAAGCUGCAUUUUUGGUCGCCGUUCAGUGUUUUCUGCCUUUUUGCCCUACGCCUGCUAAAUUUCUUCUCACUCAUAAGCUCUCUAUGUGGGAGAUUAUUAAAGCCUGUGGCAAUUGGUUAAAGGAUAAUGACAUUUGGCAUUUGUGUGGGAUACAACUGUCACACAGUUUAGUGAUCCUCAGACGCAUUUGUCAGAGGGAAAUAGUUUAGUGUUGCUGUCAAAGCUUACAGCACUUGAAGUUGAGCUCCCCAGUCCACCCCGCCCAUGUGUGUGUGUGUGUGUGUAUACCUUUGAGUACCCUCAGAAGACAGAAUAGAGUUUCAGAUCUCUUGAAGCAGGAGUUAGAGGCUGCCUGAUGUGGGUGGUGGGACCUGAACUCGGGUCUUCUGCAACUGCUUUUAACACAUGAGCAGCCCCUCUUCCCUCUCCACCCUCAACUUUCUCUUUAUACAGGUACCUCUAUGAAAGGAUGGUGAUGUGAAUUGCUCUCACUUCCUUUUACUGGGUGUUAUAGAGAGGACGAGAGCCAGGACGCGUAGAGACACAGGCACACAGAGAGCAAGGCUCCCAGAGCCAUGCUUCAUCAGCUGUUGGAACAAGAAAAGGAAUUCAAGUGAACAGGUCCCCAACUUACUUACUUCCAUUUUGUUAAUGUGGUUUCUCAGUUAUUUAUGCUUACAGUUUUUAUCUUUUUAAAUGGAAAAUGUUUGAAAACGGGGAAAUGAAUAGAGAGGACUCUUCGGGGUCCCAUGGUAUGAAACUUUAGAUUGCAACAUUUGUUUAUGAGUGAACAAGCCCCAUGUUAUUUUUUCUGAGAAGAUGGGACCAAGUCCAGAUUAUUAUUGGAGAGAUAUUAGAGUUCGGCUCAUGCUAUAUUCUCAGAUCUCACUCAGUGAAGUUACCACCAAUAUGUAUUGAUAAAACCUAAUGUGCAUACCACGGCCUGCCAAGGCCACCUCUGUUGAUGUGAUUCACGUAGAAUCUGAGGAAGAGAGGUGCCUGGGGCUCUCUUUGCCUGGGCUUCCGGAUGGUUACUUGUGGAUAGUAUACAGAGAGGCUGCAUUUCUCAAACCAAGGGCUCCCUGUCUUCCACCUCAGCCCAGCUGGUACCCGAGGGCAUGUUUGCAUUUUUCCUGCUUUUUGUUCAUUGAGAUGAAGGCUUCAGUGGGUCCACAGGAAUGUGAGUGAAGGCUAGCCCAGGCCAGCAUUCUUCCAACACUCAUUUGAAAGUGUUUUUUAUUGUAUAUCAGCAGGAAGCAGUGGGAAGGUAUGUCAGACUCUGGCUUCCUUCUGUUGUUUCAUAUAACAGGACUUGUGUUUCUGAAUUCUCAACCUGUCUACUGUAGAGAGAGGCCUCUGUGAUUCCAGCAUUGGAGAGAGCUGGGACAGGUAUACAACCACCGUAUGAGGAAUCUUUAGAUGUGAGAGGUUCAUUAAUUCUCACAUCAGACAGCCCUGAUCGAAGUGAAUCCCCCACCCCACCCCAGGACCCCUAUGCAUCUUCACUCCUGUGUCUAGAGAAACAGUCACAGAAGAAAGGCUGUUGGAGCGGACUUGGGCUCUGAGGCCGGCUCAUUAUUUGGUGUUUACAGCAGAGGGCUCCAAGCUGAAACACCACUUUAACUUUCAGGAGUCUGCUUUGUCUUUGCUUUACCCAGCCAGCUCCUGGCUGCCUUUUCUAAGACGACUGCCAGCAGCCUAAUUUCUAUAAUUCAGGUGAUAAAAGUGCUAAGGAUAAAAGUCCUUCACUGACAAACAGCAAAUCUCUAAUUUAUUCCGUUUAAUGCAACAAUAGCUUAAGUGUCCUGUGUAACCAUCAGGGUGUUGAUAAUAACUUGGAAUCUUCUGAGAUAUUAGGACCAGCUUUAAACAAACAAACAAAAAUGUUUUGACUUCAAUACUGUUGCCAUGUAUUCUGUCUUAUGGAGCGGGCUUUAAAUCCAGUCAGAAAAUGCUUGGUUACUCCUGUGAUGUUCGAGCCACUGUCACACCAGUAGGCAUUGUCACCUUAGCCUUUCUUGUAGCUUUCUGGUAUCGCAUCUUUUGGUGCUUUGAAAGGAAAGCAGGAAGGAAGCCUGGGUCAGUAUCUGCUUGGUUUCUCUGUGAUCUGUGACUCAAGCAUGUUGUGACUUCAGAAUAUGCAGGUAGCUCACAGGGGCUAGAGAAGGACCCCCACUACUGCUAUUCCAAGAGGAAUAUAAUAUUAAAUUGUCUUUUAGUGACUUCCUGAUAUACCCAUAGACUGGUUUGUUUCUUGACCCUCAUUUUGCAAUAGAUCAUGAUUAACAUAGAGACCCAUAACUGGCCAAUCUGCCCUGAAUAAAAGGGUGCGGCAUGCUCAUCCCCAAAUGGGACACCUGUAUUAUAUUCCCUCACAAGGCUCAAGGAUCGUUGUUGAAGAAGAGGCAGAAAGACUCUAAAAGUGAGACUCGGUAGAUGACUACAACACACAGUGCUUUCCAGACACAGCAGGGCAGUUAUACUGUGAACUUACAGAAUUAUGACAGCACACACAGGACCUUUACAAGCUCUAGUCAGCCAAAGUCCCAGCAUAGAUGUGGCAGGGUGGUGGGCAUAGAGUCCCAUCCAUAGCUGAGGAGCUAUUGAUAAGUGAUAGCUGCUGUGAAAGGGAGAGUCGAUUUCCUUCAAGGGUGAGGGCCUUGGUAGGUCAACCACACUCCAGGGAAUAGUGCCACACCCAAGACUAUUUGGAAUGUACAAGUGAGACUCUAUGGAUUUGGGAAAAAAAUAAGGAGGCAUGGAAUUGGGUAGGUAAGUGAUGGGGGGAGGAUCUUGCAGAAGUUGGGAAGAGAAGCAAAUAUUUUCAAAAUACAUUGUAUAAGUUAUUCAAAGAAUGAAUAAAGCAAUCAAAAAUAAAUGUUUGUAUUGCAUUCAUAUAUGUUUAUGGUGUAUGCAGAUGCAUGGGAGGUUCUGCAUGUGUUGUUGCGAGGUCAGAGGGCAGCUGUUGAGAGUCAUGUCUCUCUUUCCACUGUGUGGGUUCGGGGGUUGAACUCAGGUCGGCAGGCUUUAUGGCAAGUGCCUUUACAUGCUGAGCCAUCUCACUAGCCUGGUCUUGUUCAUUUUAAUAUUCUAAUUAUUUUCUUUUGUUUUUUGAUUACAUAAAAUCACUUUAUUGUAAUGAACUCAAAUGAAAAUAUCACACAGCUAGAUUAAUCACCUGUCCUGUUUCAAACUCUAUAUAUGUCAAUGAACUUCAGUAAUUAGAAUAGGUGUUCUGAAGCUAUGGAGUGCUGGUUAGGGCUUUACAUUUUACCACCAAUUACAUUCCUAUGUGUUUGACCACCAUAAAAACAGACCUAAAAAUGUCCAUGCACAGAUGAAUGGACAGUGGAAAUGUGGCACAUAUACAAGAGGGAGUAUUUUUCAGUUGUAAAAUAAAAAGAAUUUAAAGGAAAAUGGAUGGAUUCAGAAAGUAUACUAAGUAAGGUGACCCAAACUUGGAAACAUCAGCAAAAACAAAAAAUGCUUGUUAUCCCUUCUAUGGGGAUCUUAGACUAUGUUGUAAAUAUGCAAACAGGAUUAAGUGUGGAUGCAGAAUGACAUUUGAAAAGGAGACCCAGAUGGUGAGGAUGAAGGGGCUAUGGGUGAAGGACACGAGACAUGAAAGAAGAUGUAAGGCUACGGUUCUCUAGCUUAAACCUGAUAGUCUUGAUUCUUCUUUUGUUUAUUUUUAUACUCCAUAAUUAUAUUCAGUUGGUUAUAUCUUUGCAACUUACUACAUAUUGGGUUGAAAAGAAUCCGGCUUUGUACUAAACUGAUGCUACUUUAUGUAACCUAGCAAUUGGGAUUUUUUUUUGUUUGUUUUUUGACAAAUUUAUAGAUUGUAUAAUCUGUUCGUGAGAUGCUUGCAGUUUGUUAGAGUUAUCGGACAAAUGUGUCCAGCCGUGACUUCCACUGUGAAGCAGCACACAUUCCACGUCUCAUUUGAAUGGUGAAUGGUAGGAAAAUUGGAAUCAUUCCUAGGAAAGAAAUGAAACAUCUUCUGUUUUGAAAGCAAAAAUAUACUCCUUUGAUUGACAGGGAUUUCCUUGGCGGAAAUGAAGACCCGCGUGGACUUAGAGAUCAAAGGCCUUUGGUAGCUGUUCCUAAUGACAACACAUAUUCUGCUGUUUGGGGUUUGUUUUUAUAUGAAAACUUUUCCAGACAGGGUUUGUCCAGUUGCCUUUUCUUCUCCUGUCCCUAAUCUUGCUUCUGUAUCUUCUGUCCAUGGCAGCUACCAACAUCUCACACAUCAUCUUUCCUCUCUCCUGAAGUCAGCUGCACAUGAUCCCAGGGUUUGCUAGUUGCUUUUUUCUGUAUUUCUGUCCACGAUAAAAACCACACAUAUGAGCUACUUGAAGAAGGAGGUCUGGGGUUGGUUUUCUCCUCUCCACCAUUAACCUCAGAGGAGUGCUGUCUCCUGGGGGUCCUUCCUGUCUAGUGUCAUUCCACUCUUGACUGUCAGGAAUGGGAAAGACCUUUGAGGCUCCAUCGUUGCCCUCAGCGAGUGAUCCUCUCUGCAAGGCUUCCUUACCACUCCAUGAUCCAAGAUAGCCUGGUGAUCUAAGAUAACCUCUCAUUUUGGCAAAGAGGGUCCCCUUCCUCUGUCAUUACUUUGCAUUUUGCUUGCAGUCUUUUGUCCUUCUUAACCUGCACUGUCAAUAUCCAUUCCAUGAAAUCUAUAGGCUGGAAUAGGAUACAUGACUGCUUUAAAGCCUUAAUGGAAAAGGGAAAUAAAGAAAAGUUGGGCUCAUGAUGAUGAUGGAACUGGCCAGAGCAGUAGCAUCAUCAGGAAGAGACAAGGGCUGAGAAUAAGUGAGAGUUGAUGUCCUUAGGGCUGCUCAGGCAACACACUCAAUCCCUGGCCCUGCCAUUACUAUAACCUAGAGCGAAGAGGAUGUGUCUGCCACAUCAGAAUGGAAUGCUGUUGCCAAUCAGCCAACAAAUUUACCCCAUCAGCCCAGAUCCCAUCUAGUCUGCUCCAUACGUGAGAAACAGAUUAUGCCUGUCGGCCUGGCCUUCAGUGGCCUCUUCACAAACCCCACUGUCUCUAAGAAGAAAACAAAAAACAAACAAACAAAAAACAAAAACAAACAACAACAAACCAGUGUACCAUUGAUUGAGAAGUCUAUAGUCAGAAUGUGCAAUUUAUUUCUGGCAGCUGUCUAGACACAUAUCUAAGUUAGUGAUUCAUAUGUGCAAUACCAACUUCAAUGUGGAGAGGAUUUUAAACCAUAAACUCGACUAUAUAAUGUAAGGAUUUCAAAACCAAACACUACAUGCCUAUAUUUAUAGAUUUAGCUAUACAGAAUACAACAAGACAUCAGGCUUAUUUUCCUGCCUCAGGCCUACUGGUACUACAAGACUAUGAUGCAGCCUAAGAAAACACUACAUUUUAAUUUCAGGGCAGGUAGCGCCACACAUCAGCAGUACCCAGGAGGGAUGGGGGCAGGGUGAGAAUAGCUCUGUGCUCCUGUGUAGACCAAGCAGGACUUUAGGGGAAUUCCAGUGUUAUUAGCCAGCAAGUUCAAGAGUUCAGAAGAGCAUAAGGACCCUACAUUAUAAUUGAUAUACUUCAUGAAACCAGAAGUGAAUUGCACAAUAUUAGAGACAACUAAUACCAUUUAAUCCUCUGCAGUCCUCUGGAUGGCAGAGGCUCCUCGGGCUCAGUCCUAUGAUUCCUUUCCUAUAUCAUUAACUUUUACAGUGAUGUGAUUUAAAAUCAGGUUUUACAUCUCCAACUCAAAGACCAUAAAAUAUGCUACCGUGAAGUUAAGGACCUGGUUUUUCUUAUAGAUUUUAAAUAGAAUAUUUACAUUUAGGUGUUUUGUACAACCCCCCACCCCACCCCAUGCAGAUUCAUACAAACAAUUCAAAAUAAAUUAAAAAAAUAAAACAACCCAGAGGGCUUAUGAGAAAAAAUAGAGUUAAAGUUAAGAGCAAAACACCAACUCUUUGUCAUCCAUGCAUACACACGCACAUAUGGGAGCGCGCGCACACACACACACACACACACACACAACCAACAAAGCAAAAAAUAGGUAAACAGAAAUGGCUCAUGUCAAAUAAUUGAGAAGUAAAUUCUAUAGUAAGUUGACUCAGAAGCAAGCUCCGACAUUUGCUUGUGGACUAAAUGCUUUGACAGUAUCAGGAAGGGUUUCAUGUGUGGUUCAGUGCGUGUCCCGUGUGUAUGCAGUAGAAGAAGUCAAGCUGUGUGACAGGAACAGAAAGUGGGUGGGAAUGGAUGGCCAAACCCAGGAAGCUGGCCAUGAGGGUGAGGGGUGCAUCAGCCAUUCUGCACAGGUGACCUGGGCCUGGUGGCUGCUGGGUAAAUCUCUCUGUAUCUACCUUGUGAUGCUCAAGGAUGAGUUCGAGGACAAGCAACUGUGAAGGUCAUGCAGCUCAAAUAAUCGGGUCGGAGAUUUUUAAAGCGUCGGAGAUUUUUAAAGCGACUCAUUAAGAAAACACACCUCUUUGCUUUUGUUGGUGCCUCUGGGGCUCCAUGACACAAGGUUCCAUGACACAGAUGGAGGUAGCCAGGUUUCUACAAUCGAAGCCAGAUAGAAAUAGCUCAAGGUGAGUCAGAAGAAAUACUGUAGGAUCCAUUGACCAUGUGAGAAGCAUUUUCCUUCACUUUGACAGUUAUGAGCUGUGGGGAGGGCGAGUGGGGGAGAUGGGAAAGGUUCGGGGCAGAGUGAAGGAUAGGGGAUAGGGGUGGGGAGUGUUGUGGGGAAUCAGUGUUCAUUCUGUCAAGUGUUCCACCCUCUCACAUGCUUGAGUUCACAGAUUUUCACACUGUCUUCAGUGAGGAGCAAGGGCGGGCUUCCGGCAUGCUGAUGGAAAGUUCUACCACUUCACUACUGACUGAUUAUGCAGUGACAGAGCUAAGUCCAGGUCUUCGACUGAGCAUGGUGAGUGCUCUGCAGGUGAGCAUCAUCUGCAGUCCCACUCUCUGCCUAUUCAUUUGCAGCUAAGACUACAGCCA
rnacentral:lncRNA from 1 species